rnacentral:rRNA from 1 species
CGUAGGGGGAACCUGCGGAGGGAUCAUUACCGAGUUUACAACUCCCAAACCCCUGUGAACAUACCUAUACGUUGCCUCGGCGGAUCAGCCCGCGCCCCGUAAAACGGGACGGCCCGCCCGAGGACCCCUAAACUCUGUUUUUAGUGGAACUUCUGAGUAAAACAAACAAAUAAAUCAAAACUUUCAACAACGGAUCUCUUGGUUCUGGCAUCGAUGAAGAACGCAGCAAAAUGCGAUAAGUAAUGUGAAUUGCAGAAUUCAGUGAAUCAUCGAAUCUUUGAACGCACAUUGCGCCCGCCAGUAUUCUGGCGGGCAUGCCUGUUCGAGCGUCAUUUCAACCCUCAAGCUCAGCUUGGUGUUGGGACUCGCGGUAACCCGCGUUCCCCAAAUCGAUUGGCGGUCACGUCGAGCUUCCAUAGCGUAGUAAUCAUACACCUCGUUACUGGUAAUCGUCGCGGCCACGCCGUUAAACCCCAACUUCUGAAUGUUGACCUCGGAUCAGGUAGGAAUACCCGCUGAACUUAAGCAUAUCAAAAG